AUCCAGUUUGAGUGCAUGGAAACUUAAUGUCAGGUGAUCGCAAUUUUGUGCUAAUAUUGGUGGAAUCGGUUAAAAUUGAAUAAACCCUUUAAAUAUAUUUUUUUUUAAGCGAAAAGUGCAUUUAAUAUCCACAUUUACCUUUUGAUUUUAUUUCUCCUUGGGACUGGUGAUUAGGAAAAACCGACUAAGAUAUUCUCUCGCGUAUCGCGACGGGAUGAAAGAAAUCCCCUAAUUCAUCUAUAUAAAACAGUCUCUGACUUCUUGUUGCAGUAGUAUCAACACCGCAAUCUACAGUACACCACGAUGAACAAGUUAACACUCUCCUUCGUUCUUGCAAUUUUUGCCUUUGUGUGUAGCUGCCAAGUUAGUUCGCUGCCAGUU